rnacentral:rRNA from 1 species
UCAUGGCUCAGAUUGAACGCUGGCGGCAGGCCUAACACAUGCAAGUCGAACGGUAGCACAGAGAGCUUGCUCUUGGGUGACGAGUGGCGGACGGGUGAGUAAUGUCUGGGAAACUGCCCGAUGAGGGGGAUAACUACUGGAAACGGUAGCUAAUACCGCAUAACGUCGCAAGACCAAAUGGGGGACCUUCGGGCCUCACACCAUCGGAUGUGCCCAGAUGGGAUUAGCUAGUAGGUGGGGGUAAUGGCUCACCUAGGCGACGAUCCCUAGCUGGUCUGAGAGGAUGACCAGCCACACUGGAACUGAGACACGGUCCAGACUCCUACGGGAGGCAGCAGUGGGGAAUUUUGGACAAUGGGCGCAAGCCUGAUCCAGCAAUGCCGCGUGCAGGAAGAAGGCCUUCGGGUUGUAAACUGCUUUUGUACGGAACGAAAAGGCUCUGGUUAAUACCUGGGGCUCAUGACGGUACCGUAAGAAUAAGCACCGGCUAACUACGUG